rnacentral:tRNA from 2 species
GGUUACUGACAGGAUUCGAACCUGCAUGUUGCGCCCCAGUUGAGGACAGCCUGUACCAUUUGGCUACAGUAAC